UACGUAGAGGGCAAGCGUUGUCCGGAAUGACUGGGCGUAAAGGGUACGCAGGCGGAUAGUAAGUCAAAUGUGAAAGGCACCGGCUCAACCGGUGAGCUGCAUUUGAAACUGCCUAUCUUGAGUACAGGAGAGGAGAGCGGAAUUCCUGGUGUAGCGGUGGAAUGCGUAGAUAUCAGGAAGAACACCAGUGGCGAAGGCGGCUCCCUGGCCUGAAACUGACGCUCAUGUACGAAAGCUGGGGGAGCGAACGGG
rnacentral:rRNA from 1 species